AUUGAACGCUGGCGGCAGGCCUAACACAUGCAAGUCGAACGAGUGGCGGACGUGUGAGUAAUGUCUGGGAAACUGCCUGAUGGAGGGGGAUAACUACUGGAAACGGUAGCUAAUACCGCAUACCAUCGGAUGUGCCCACAUGGGAUUAGCUAGUAGGUGGGGUAAAGGCUCACCUAGGCGACGAUCCCUAGCUGGUCUGAGAGGAUGACCAGCCACACUGGAACUGAGACACGGUGCAAAAUCCUACGGGAGGCAGCAGUGGGGAAUAUUGCACAAUGGGCGCAAGCCUGAUGCAGCCAUGCCGAGUGUGUGAAGAAGGCCUUCGGGUUGUAAAGUACUUUCAGCGGGGAGGCGUUACACGCAGAAGAAGCACCGACUAACUCAGUGCCAGCAGCCGCGGUAAUUC
rnacentral:rRNA from 1 species